UUUUCAAGAAUUAAAGAGAGAGAAAGUUCAUCCAUGGAAGAAGGAAGAAGAAGAAGAAGAAGGAAGGCUUAAGAAAAAGGUAUGAAAAUUUCCUAAAUUCAAAACUCUUGUUAGUUUAAAAGUGUUUUGAUAUGGUGUUUUAGAUCAAGUGUUGAACUUAUGAUUUUGAUCCAUAUGAGGGAAGAUCUACAUGAUAUAUGAUAUUUUAUGGUUAGAUCUUGCCAUUUUUAGGGUUGAUAGGCUUGAACAAAGAAGAAUAACCAAAACAGUUUUUUUUGUUUUAAAUGAGUUAGUGGACUGCUGCCCUAAAACAGAAAAUUUCGGAUUUGUUAGAGUGCUCUAAAAAUUCUGGACUUGUGAUAUGUUAUAGUACACUCAAUAAGCUUUCCAUAGACUCCGAAACGGACUAAAUCCGACAUCGGAGGAGGGAGUUAUGGGAUUUCUCCCAAACUACACAAAGUUAAGAAAACUGUGAAAAGGACAGUUUUGGAACAGUCACUUCCGGGCUAAAUUCCGGGAGCUAAACAUAUCCAAAUAUGGAUUGUGAUAUAUGAAAACUGUAGUUCGGAAAGAUACGAAUCCAACAAAAUUGACGGAUCAUUAAUCGGAGUUACAGAUUUCGUUUUAUUUAAGUUUUGGUGAAGGACUCCAAAACUGCCAAAGUGCAAAAAGUUUCUGGCCAAAAUUUUCCGAGGGCUGUUUUGGACAUUUAGUUAAUGAGAAAAAUUACAGGCUUUUGGGAAAUGAAAAUAUAUGGUAAUAUGUAGCUCGUGUCCAAAAAUGAGCUAAUUCCGGCUUAAAACGACCAAGUUAUGACCAUUUCAAUUUUUGUGAUUUUCCGACGGAAAUCGCUAUAACCGGAGUUCUACAACUCCGAUUGCCACGAAAUUUAAAAUGGAGCAUCACGUUAACAUAUAUAAGGUUAUGUCAAAAGAUGGGCAUCUCUGGAGUUAAGCACGAGGUAGCUAAUUUUCUUAAGUCACGCACUAAUUAUGAUUUUUGAAAAAUAGUAAAAGAAAUUGAAAAAUUACGGAAAAAUAUUUUUUAUGUAUGAAAUACAUGUAUAUAUGUUUGACCAAAGGAUAAAAAAAUAAUAAGUUGAUUUGGUAUUUUUCGUGAAAAAGAAUAGUGAUUUCGGGAUACUGAAAUAAAAUCCGUCUUACUGAAAUGGUAUUUCGGUUUACUAAGAUGUUAUCUAAUUUACUAGGAUAACAUAUAAAAAUGAAUAACUUAUAAGUAUAAGUUAUGAUGUGAUUAAAAGAAUAUCAAAGUAUAAUAAUAAUAUUAAGACUUAAAACUAAUGUCUAAUACUUAACUAUAUGUUAUGACUAACCGAAAGAUCUAUUAUAGGUUUUAUAUGCUGUAUAGACUGAUAGGAGUAUGUGGAAAUAUGUUUAAGUUAUUUUAUAACAAUGAUGAUAUUAUUCUAAUAUUGGAGAUCUAUAUUAUUAAUAUUAGGUCUUCAGGAGAAGCGUAUUAUAUUGCGUUACGGUAAUCAACGGUUCAGGCAAGUUUUUCAAGUUCUUUUUACUUAAACUCUUUUAAGAGUGGUUUCAGACAGAUAUGCUUAUGAAUUGUACUCUGUACAUAUUGCAUGUAUUCAUCAGGUAUGAAAGGCUGAUCACCUUCAUUACCAGUCAGUUCAGAUAUAAUUGUUAUGUUCAUUUUCAAUGUUCAUUCAGCUUUGAAAUUUUGUUCAUGCUAAUUCACAACUACAUUGUGAAGGAUAGCCAGCUUAUUAUUCAAACUCUUUCAAUCAUGAUAUAUCUUUACCUUGUUUUUUUUAAACUUGCUGGGCAACUUUCAUGCUCACCCUUGCUAUAUCAUGAUAAAACAUUGCAGAUAAGGCGAAUACGGCCAGAUACAGGAAAAGGAUAAUGCCAAGUUCAGCUUGGGAUAAAAUGUGAAGUUAAGUUGUAAAGUAUGUUGAAGAAUAGUAUUGUCAUAUGUUAGACAGUUCACGAUUGUGUAUUAGUUAAGGUUACUCGAUUUUGGGAAUAGUGUGUAAAGUUUAAUGUAUAAACAAUUUAUGUUUAUAUCUUCCGCAACAGUUGUAGAAAUAGCAAACCGGAUCCACGGCGAUUUGGGACCCGGAUUCGGGGUCGCUACAUGGACCACCAGAAUUUCGUGGAUCCAUGAAUCUAGUUGAAGUACAAACUUAGAUUAUGGAAAUCGAGAAGGUUUUUGAUGUGGCUAGGGUAGAGGAGAAUCAGAAGACAUCUUUUGCAACGUUUAUGUUGAAAGAGGAGGCUUGUUAUUGGUGGCAGGCCAACAAAACUUGGGAAGGACCAGGAGUAAGGACCUGGGAUAGGUUUAAGGAGCUAUUCUUCGAGACUUAUUUCCCUAAGAGUUCGAAGAGUCAGCUAGAGGUCCAGUUUUUGGAGUUGAAGCAAGGAACAAUGUUGGUGUCGGAGUAUGCCGUAAAGUUCAACGAGUUGGCGAGGUUUGCGCUAUAUCAGGUCAGUAUAGACGAGCGCAAGGCGAAAAGGUUUGAGCAGGGACUGAAACCCUGGUUGUACAGUAGGGUUUCCCUGUUCCAAUUGAAGACAUUUACAGCAGUGAUGGAGAAGGCGAUUCUCACUGAAAGUGGAGGCGAGGCGGUAACAAAGCAUAAUCAAGAGCAGAGAAAGAAGAAAAGUGAAGGUGAAGCUAAGAGUGGUGGUAACGGUAGUAAUGGCAAUAACCUGAAGAGGAAGUGGAAUGGAAAUGUGCGAGCUAGAAAUCAGCAAAGAAACCAGCAAAAUAAGAAGUUCGAAGCAUGUGCUACGUGCGGAAAUUUUCAUAAGGGAGUGUGUUUGCUGGGGAAACGAGUAUGCUUCAAUUAUGGCCAGGAGGGUCACGUCGCCCCAAAUUGCACUCAAGCUUAGAAGAAUGUGUGCUUCACGUGCAGAUCCAAGGAUCACUUUGCUCGUGAAUGCCCUAAGAAGAGAUCUGGUGAGACAAAUGGGAGCAAGGGAAGUGCUAGUGGAGGUGCGUUGGCUAUUGCGGUACCAACAACAACAAAUAAGCCCACAGCCAGAACCUUCAACAUGACUGUGCAAGAUGUUGUGCAAUCAAAGGAUGUAGUGUCAGGUAUUAUCCCAAUCAAGGAUAUUGAUGCUUAUAUAUUAUUUGAUUCGGGUGCUACUUGCUCAUUUAUAUCUGAUGAAUUUGAUAUGAGAUUAGGAUUGCCUAGUGAAGAAUUGAAUUUCCCUUUAAACAUAGAAAUUGCGAAUAAGGAAGUACUUCCUGUUAGGUUCGUAUACAAGAACUGUAGGGUGAACAUUAAGGGAAAUAUUUUUAUGGUAUAUUUAAUUCCGAUUAGGCUUGGAGAGGUUGAUGUUAUUUUGGGAAUGGACUGGUUGUUUAAUUGUGGAGCAAAAAUUGACUGCCAAAAGAAAUGUGUAAACCUUAUGACUCCGUCAAAGGUAGUAUUCAAUGGUAGCAAAUCACCUAGACAAAUGUGAUGUCUGACGAUUAUGUAGGCCAAAAAGUUGUUGAGUCAGGGCUGUGUGGGUUAUUUAGCUUACAUAGUCGAUACUCAGAAGAAGGGUGCGAAACUGGAAGAAAUACCAGUGGAUUUGCCAGGACUUCCUCUUGACAGAGAAAUCGAGUUCGUGAUUGACUUAGCGCCAGGAACCGCUCCGAUAUCGAAAGCCCCGUACAGAAUGGCUUCGGUGGAGAUGAAAGAACUGAUGGUACAACUACAGGAGCUGCUGGACAAGAAAUACAUUCAGCCGAGUGUGUCACCGUGGGGAGCACCGGUGUUAUUCGUAAAGAAGAAGGAUGGGUCAAUGCGUCCUUGCAUUGAUUAUAGGGAGUUAAACAAAGUCACUAUUAAGAAUAAAUAUCCAUUGCCGAGAAUAGAUGACUUGUUUGAUCAAUUGAAAGGUGCUAGAUAUUUCUCGAAAAUAGAUUUGAGAAGUGGGUAUCAUCAACUGAAGGUAAGAAAGGAGGAUGUACCGAAGACGGCAUUCCGAACUCGGUAUGGACAUUACGAAUUUUUGGUGAUGUCUUUUGGUUUGUCAAACGCCCCUGUAGCGUUCAUGGAUUUGAUGAACAGGGUGUUUAAACCAUUUUUGGACAAGUUUGUGGUGGUGUUUAUUGACGAUAUUCUAGUGUACUCUAAAACUCAAGAGGAACAUGUGGAACACUUACGUCUAACGCUGGAGACGCUAAGAAAAGAAAAGUUGUAUGCGAAAUUCUCUAAAUGUGAAUUUUGGCUGGAACGUGUACAAUUUCUUGGGCACGUAAUUGACAAGGAUGGAAUCUCAGUGGAUCCAUCAAAGGUCUAAGCUGUGAUAAAUUGGGAACCAAGAACUCCGUCAGAAGUGAGAAGUUUCUUGGGAUUAGCAGGGUAUUAUAGACGGUUUAUCCAGGAUUUCUCCAAGAUUGCCACUCCGUUGACAAAUUUAACGAGGAAAUCUGUAAAAUUUGUUUGGACGGAGAAGUGUGAAGAAAGUUUCCAGGAAUUGAAAAAGAAGCUAAGUAUGGCACCUAUGUUGUCGUUACCGGAUAAUACAGGAAAUUUUGUGGUGUACAGUGAUGCCUCACACAAAGGUUUAGGAUGUGUCCUUAUGCAGAACGGUAAAGUCAUUGCGUAUGCAUUAAGACAAUUGAAAGAUUACGAAAAAGGGUAUCCGACUAAUGAUUUAGAGUUGGUGGCGGUUGUGUUUGCUCUGAAGAUAUGGAGACACUAUCUCUACGGAGAGAAAUGUGAGAUUUACAUAGACCAUAAAAGUUUGAAGUGUAUUUUCACACAGAAGGACCUGAACAUGCGUCAAAGAAGAUGGAUGGAACUGAUAGAAGAUUAUGAUUGUGAGAUCUUUUAUCAUCCAGGCAAAGCAAACGUGGUUGCAGAUGCCUUGAGUAGGAAAGGCAGGGAAAAGUUGAUGUUGUUAACUGAUAAGGAGGAGCUUAUUACAACAAUGUCAAGGUUAGAGUUGGAAAUCAAAUUUCCAAAAGAAUCCGAUGAGAAAUUAUACCAGAUAGAUGCCAGUCAAACUUUGGUGGACAAAGUGAAGAAUGCUCAACUGCAGGAUGAGGAAUGCAGAAAAAUAAGAGAAAGUGUGGUCGACGGAAAGGAAGUGAAAUACAAGGUUGAUACUGAUAGAAUGCUGAGAUUCGAGGGAAGAAUCUGGGUUCCAGCAGUACCAGACAUUAAAGAGGACAUUUUGACAGAAGCUCAUAGCUCGAGAUAUUUGAUUCAUCCAGGAAGUACGAAAAUGUAUCAAGAUUUGAGACAACAUUUUUGGUGGCCAAACAUGAAAAGAGACGUUGCAGAAUGCAUUGCAAAGUGCUUAACAUGUCAGAGAGUCAAGGCUGAGCAUCAAAGACCAAGCGGGUUACUUCAACCAUUAGAGAUACCGGAAUGGAAAUGGGAACAUAUCACAAUGGAUUUUGUGGUAGGUCUUCCAACAACUCAGAAAGGAUACGAUGCGAUAUAGGUGAUAUUGGACAGAUUGACAAAAUCUGCACACUUUUUGCCAAUAAAGAUUAGAUUCAAUCUUGAUCAGCUGGAAAAGUUAUAUGUUAAAGAGAUUGGGUAGAGACAUGGAGUUCCAAUGUUAAUUGUGUCAGAUAGAGAUCCGAGGUUCACAUCAAACUUUUGGAAGAGACUACAAGAAUGUACGGGAACCUAGUUGCGAAUGAGUACUGCAUAUCAUCCGCAAACAAAUGGCCAAAGCGAACGAACAAUUCAGACAUUGGAGGAUAUGUUGAGAGCAUGCGUCAUGGAUUUCAAUGGAAGCUGGGAUGAAUAAUUAUCGUUGGUGGAAUUUGCCUACAAUAACAGUUACCACGCAAGCAUCGGCAUGCCGCCUUACGAAGCAUUGUACGGCAGAAAGUGCAGAACUCCACUGUACUGGGAUGAAGUCGGUGAACGUCAACUGUUAGGACCAGAACUGGUACAACAAACUGUUGAGGUUGUCAAACUCAUCAGAACAAGAUUGAUAGCUUCUCAAGACAGACAAAAGAAAUAUGCUGAUCAACACAGACAAGAUCGCGCAUUCGACGUAGAAAGUUACAUUUUCCUAAAAGUUUCUCCUUGGAAGGGGAAGAUUCAAUUUGGUAAAAAGGGGAAACUAAGCCCAAGGUUUAUUGGACCCUUCGAAGAGCUGAGGAAGGUUGGAGAGGUAGCUUAUGAGGUAGCUCUACCUCCAGAAUUGCAAAAUAUUCAUAAUAUUUUUCACGUGUCGGUGUUACGACCGUAUAAACCUGAUUACAAACACGUAAUUGAGUACGGACCAUUACGGUUUGAGAAAGACUUGUCCUAUGAAGAGGUUUCUAUCACGAUAGUCGACAGGAAAGAACAAGUGCUCAGGAAUAAGGUGAUACCUUAUGUAAAGGUAGUAUGGAUGAACCACAAUGUCGAAGAGGCCACGUGGGAACUCGAAGCUGAAAUGAUGAAGAAUUACCCUAAGUUGUUUGUUUAAUCUAUGUCUUCGAUUCUGGGGACAGAAUCUUUGUAAGUAUGGGAGAAUGUGACGAAUGAAUUGUUUGAAUUGCGAUUCUGAGGACAGAAUCCUUGUAAGGAGGGAAUGAUGUAACAUUCCAGAAUUUUAAUUGUUAUAUUAAAUAUUUAUUGAAUUAUUUAAAUAUUUAAUGGAUGUGUUUAUUGUUGAAUAAAUAAUUGUUCAAAUUUGAAUUGAUGUGGUUAAUUAUUUGUUAAAUAAAUAAUUAAGGAAAAUUAAUUAUUUUGCUAAUUUAAUUUAAUUAUUAAGUUAGAGAAUUUUGAUUAAUUGAAUAACUACUCUUUUUAUUGAAAUUUGUAAAUUUAAAAGGAUGUGUUAGUUGAAUUAAAUAAAGUUAUAAUUAUAUAGAAUAUUAUAAUUUUGUGAUAUUGAUUUAUGUGAUGUAGUAAUUUAAUAAAUUGUUAUUAGAAUUAUUUUAAUUAAAUAAAAGUGUGAUGAAUAACCUUUUAUUAAGUAGUUAUUAAAAUAACUUAAAGGAGUUUUAAUUCAGUUUUUCCAAACAAGGCCUAAUGCCUAUUAAGUCUUUAAUAUAAUUGUGUUUUACCAAACAAGGUGUAAGGAUUAAUGGGUUAUUUUUUAGUUAGUAACCAAACAAGCCUUAUGGCUUUUGAUUUCAAAAUUCGCAUAACUGAUAUCAAUUAUGUUUAUAAUUAUAUUAUAUAAUUAGUAUAUAUAAUAUCUAUAUACGUUAUUUGUUAAGACGUAUGUUAGAGGAGAGAGGUUAGAGAGAAGGAAGAAAACUCAGAGGAAGAAGAAGAGAAGAAGAGAAGAAGAAGAAAAGAAGAAAAGAAGAGAGAAAGGAAGGCUAGAGAUUGGAGAAGGAGAGGCUUGAGAGUAGAAAAGAAUAGCCAUAUCAUCUUCUAUCAAGGUAUUCUCCUAUUUCUUUAAGUUUUAAAAGUUUAGUUUUUAUCUUCUCAAAUUCUCUAUAGAAUCUUUGUGUAAGCAUGAAUUGUUGUUGUUAUGUGGCUUUAUAUUGCAUACUAGUGAUGUUAAAACGAUUUUCAUAAGUUAUAGUUAAUAAAUUGGUAUUAUGUAUAUGUAUGUGGAGAAAAGUAUUUUACAAAGAGUUUUUUUUAUAUAUAUUGUGUAGUUAAAAUAGAAAUUAUGGGUGGUUUAGUUGUUUUAUUGAUAAAUUAGUUAUUCAAUUUGUUAGAGUAUAUAUAUACGUUGAUAAAAAGCUUUGACUUAGUGGUUUUGGUUGAGAAACAAAAUUAUAGUGUUUAUUUUCAUCAAAAAUAUCAAAAAAGUGAGUUUUAGCCAAAAAACAGUGAAUUUGGGUUUGUUAAUUUUGUUGUUUAUGUUGUUAUAUGAGUAGAAACAUGUUAGGAGUUCUUGAAUUUUGUUUACAUGAAGUUGUUAUAUGAUUUACAUACUAUUUGGUCUGUUAGAAACGAGCUUGUAGGCCAAAAUUGGCUUUUUCUGUGCUGUUUCCGAGGCUGUCUGCCGAGGUCUGCAAUUCGGUGCCGCGGGGCGGACUUGCAGUACCUUUGUGGCGCCGCAGCGCCAUGCUCACACCGCAGCGCGGCCUUGUAGCCUUUAUCUCCGUGCCGCAGCGCCAUGCCCAUGCAGCAGCGCGACCCACAGUGUAAACUGUGGCGCCGCGGCGCGAGUUAGCAGAAUGAUCUGAAACUGUACUUUCUGUACACAAAAAUUUUAAGAAAAGUUAUGUGAUGAUAUUAGGACUGCUAAAUGUUGAUUUUAGUAUUUCUAUACUAUGAAUAAGUAUGUUAUUAACAAUUAACUUGUGUUAUAACUCGAUUAUGUGAUUAAAAAUCCAAUUUUAAAUGAUGAACAUAUUUAGUUAUGUUUGUAAGAUGGUAAUGACUAAUUAUGUCAUGAUGACAUAUGUUUAUAGGAUAUUGUGAUUCGUAUUGAUUUGGUUUAGCCUACGAGCAAGACAAGUUCUCUAACUCUACUUUUGUAAUUGAAAUCAAUUAUUGUUCCCAAUAUAAUAAUGCAAGAUUUCUAAUUCUUUAUCUUGUUGAACUAUUUAUUGGUUCAAUUCGAUUACCUUAUGAAUGAUGCAAGCUUUCUAAACUUUGGUUAAAUGUUGACAAGUUAUUCUUGUAUUUAACUUGUUGUUUAGCAUGCACAACUAUUUAUACUAAUGUUAAGCAAUUUCAUCGUUCAAACUGUUAUGCAUGCUUAGUACUCAAUUCUAAUUAACCUUGACUUAAUAUUGUUCAAGCAAGACAUGUUAUAGUUAUUCAAAGUAUAUGCUAUUAGAUUAUUCCUAAAGCAUGAUUUUAGUUUACUAUGUUGAUUCAAUUACAAUUAUUCUGUAAUAUAAUGUUAUUAAUUCAACUAGUCCUCUAGUUGAUGAUCGUUGAACUUCAAAUUACCCUUGAAAGCUUAUCCAAACCAAACUCUCUUUAGUGCGGACUUGUACUCCAAAUACUGAGAUGAACAACCCUAUUAUUAUUAGGGGAUAACUUACGCGUAGCGUUAAAUGUUUGUGCAUAAUACAUGGUACGAAGGGCUGAUCCCCCUAAGUACGAGGAGUCCUUAUAGUCUUUUGACUAUUAAAGUUGGAGUUGAAAGAUUACUCGCGACUGUGGACAUAGUUCAUGGUCUUAUGACCCUCAGUUAUAGUUAUUCUACAUUUUGGAUUUCAGUUUAUGAUUAUUGAUGAUAGAGUAUUAUUUAUUGUUGAUGAGCCUAUUAUUGGCAGUUAUUAUUACUAUACUCCUGUUGAUUUCAUAUUGUAUCCAGUGAGCAAUUGUUUUGCUCACUCUUGAAUAUUUAUAAACUCAUUGCAGCUAAAGAGGAGUAGGUAGAUGAACCUUCAACUAGCAAAGGAAAGGGAAAAAUGUACAAGUGAUGAUGUUAGAC
rnacentral:lncRNA from 1 species